AGUCGAACGAUGAAGCCCUUCGGGGUGGAUUAGUGGCGAACGGGUGAGUAACCGUGGGCAAUCUGCCCUUCACUCUGGGACAAGCCCUGGAAACGGGGUCUAAUACCGGAUACAACCACCGGCCGCAUGGUCUGGUGGUGGAAAGCUCCGGCGGUGAAGGAUGAGCCCGCGGCCUAUCAGCUUGUUGGUGAGGUAGAAGCUCACCAAGGCGACGACGGGUAGCCGGCCUGAGAGGGCGACCGGCCACACUGGGACUGAGACACGGCCCAGACUCCUACGGGAGGCAGCAGUGGGGAAUAUUGCACAAUGGGCGAAAGCCUGAUGCAGCGACGCCGCGUGAGGGAUGACGGCCUUCGGGUUGUAAACCUCUUUCAGCAGGGAAGAAGCGCAAGUGACGGUACCUGCAGAAGAAGCGCCGGCUAACUACGUGCCAGCAGCCGCGGUAAUACGUAGGGCGCAAGCGUUGUCCGGAAUUAUUGGGCGUAAAGAGCUCGUAGGCGGUCUGUCACGUCGGAUGUGAAAGCCCGGGGCUUAACCCCGGGUCUGCAUUCGAUACGGGCAGACUAGAGUGUGGUAGGGGAGAUCGGAAUUCCUGGUGUAGCGGUGAAAUGCGCAGAUAUCAGGAGGAACACCGGUGGCGAAGGCGGAUCUCUGGGCCAUUACUGACGCUGAGGAGCGAAAGCGUGGGGAGCGAACAGGAUUAGAUACCCUGGUAGUCCACGCCGUAAACGGUGGGAACUAGGUGUUGGCGACAUUCCACGUCGUCGGUGCCGCAGCUAACGCAUUAAGUUCCCCGCCUGGGGAGUACGGCCGCAAGGCUAAAACUCAAAGGAAUUGACGGGGGCCCGCACAAGCAGCGGAGCAUGUGGCUUAAUUCGACGCAACGCGAAGAACCUUACCAAGGCUUGACAUCGCCCGGAAAGCAUCAGAGAUGGUGCCCCCCU
rnacentral:rRNA from 1 species